UUACCAUGAUGGGGACAUUACCUUAACAACUCCUUAAAUAUUUUCCAAGCAUCAAAUACAUAUUCUCCCUCCCCUUGUCGAAAUGAAGUAAUCUUGUUCCUCAUUUU